UUUAGGGUGUGACUGCGUACCUUUUGUAUAAUGGGUCAGCGACUUAUAUUCUGUAGCAAGGUUAACCGUAUAGGGGAGCCGCAGGGAAACCGAGUCUUAACUGGGCGUUAAGUUGCAGGGUAUAGACCCGAAACCCGGUGAUCUAGCCAUGGGCAGGUUGAAGGUUGGGUAACACUAACUGGAGGACCGAACCGACUAAUGUUGAAAAAUUAGCGGAUGACUUGUGGCUGGGGGUGAAAGGCCAAUCAAACCGGGAGAUAGCUGGUUCUCCCCGAAAGCUAUUUAGGUAGCGCCUCGUGAACUCAUCUUCGGGGGUAGAGCACUGUUUCGGCUAGGGGGUCAUCCCGACUUACCAACCCGAUGCAAACUACGAAUACCGAAGAAUGUUAUCACGGGAGACACACGGCGGGUGCUAACGUCCGUCGUGAAGAGGGAAACAACCCAGACCGCCAGCUAAGGUCCCAAAGUCACAGUUAAGUGGGAAACGAUGUGGGAAGGCACAGACAGCCAGGAUGUUGGCUUAGAAGCAGCCAUCAUUUAAAGAAAGCGUAAUAGCUCACUGGUCGAGUCGGCCUGCGCGGAAGAUGUAACGGGGCUAAACUGUGCAC
rnacentral:rRNA from 1 species